rnacentral:rRNA from 1 species
UACGUAGGGUGCAAGCGUUAAUCGGAAUUACUGGGCGUAAAGCGUGCGCAGGCGGUUAUGUAAGACAGAUGUGAAAUGCCCGGGCUUAACCUGGGAACUGCAUUUGUGACUGCAUGGCUAGAGUUUGGCAGAGGGGGGUAGAAUUCCACGUGUGAGCAGUGAAAUGCGUAGAUAUGUGGAGGAACACCGAUGGCGAAGGCAGCCCCCUGGGUCAAGACUGACGCUCAUGCA